GACGAACCGUGCGAACGUUGUUCGGAAUCAUUGGGCUUAAAGGGCGCGUAGGCGGGCGAGCGAGUCGGAGGUGAAAUCCCACGGCCCAACCGUGGAAGUGCCCCCGAUACUGCUCGUCUGGAGGGAGAUAGGGGCGUGCGGAACUUCCGGUGGAGCGGUGAAAUGCGUAGAUAUCGGAAGGAACACCGGUGGCGAAGGCGGGUCUCUGGGCCGAUACUGACGCUGAGGAGCGAAAGCGUGGGGAGCGAACAGG
rnacentral:rRNA from 1 species